UACAGAGGUCCCGAGCGUUGUUCGGAUUUACUGGGCGUAAAGGGCGCGUAGGCGGCGUGACAAGUCACUUGUGAAAUCUCUGGGCUUAACCCAGGACGGCCAAGUGAAACUGUUGUGCUAGAGUGCAGAAGGGGCAAUCGGAAUUCUCGGUGUAGCGGUGAAAUGACGUAGAGAUGUGGAGGAACACCAGUGGCGAAGGCGACUUUCUGGCCUAGUAACUGACGCUGAGGCGCGAAAGCGUGGGGAGCAAACAGGG
rnacentral:rRNA from 1 species